rnacentral:rRNA from 1 species
UCUGGUUGAUUCUGCCAGUAGUCAUAUGCUUGUCUCAAAGAUUAAGCCAUGCAUGUCUAAGUUUAAGCGAUUAAACGGUGAAACUGCGAAUGGCUCAUUAAAUCAGUUAUCGUUUAUUUGAUAGUACCUUACUACAUGGAUACCUGUGGUAAUUCUAGAGCUAAUACAUGCUGAAAACCCCAACUUCGGAAGGGUGUAUUUAUUAGAUAAAAAACCAAUGCCCUUCGGGGCUCCUUGGUGAUUCAUAAUAACUUAACGAAUCGCAUGGCUUGCGCCGGCGAUGGUUCAUUCAAAUUUCUGCCUAUCAACUUUCGAUGGUAGGAUAGUGGCCUACCAUGGUGGCAACGGGUAACGGGGAAUUAGGGUUCGAUUCCGGAGAGGGAGCCUGAGAAACGGCUACCACAUCCAAGGAAGGCAGCAGGCGCGCAAAUUACCCAAUCCCGACACGGGGAGGUAGUGACAAUAGAAUACUGAUACGGGCUCUUUCGGGUCUCGUAAUUGGAAUGAGUACAAUUUAAACCCUUAACGAGGAACAAUUGGGAGGGCAAGUCUGGUGCCAGCAGCCGCGGUAAUUCCAGCUCCAAAUAGCGUAUAUUAAAGUUGUUGCAGUUAAAAAGCUCGUAGUUGAACCUUGGGUCUGGCUGGCCGGUCCGCCUCACCGCGAGUACUGGUCCGGCUGGACCUUUCCUUCUGGGGAACCUCAUGGCCUUCACUGGCUGUGGGGGGAACCAGGACUUUUACUGUGAAAAAAUUAGAGUGUUCAAAGCAGGCCUUUGCUCGAAUACAUUAGCAUGGAAUAAUAGAAUAGGACGUGCGGUUCUAUUUUGUUGGUUUCUAGGACCGCCGUAAUGAUUAAUAGGGAUAGUCGGGGGCGUCAGUAUUCAGCUGUCAGAGGUGAAAUUCUUGGAUUUGCUGAAGACUAACUACUGCGAAAGCAUUCGCCAAGGAUUUUUCAUUAAUCAGGGAACGAAAGUUAGGGGAUCGAAGACGAUCAGAUACCGUCGUAGUCUUAACCAUAAACUAUGCCGACUAGGG